GGGAGGUGGGACAGACCUGAGGAGGAAAUGAAAACGACUAUGCAUGCCUUGGAACCCAGCUCAAAUGUCAUAUCCUGGAGGAAUGAAUGAUUUAAGCUCCAAUACACUUUAUUUCCCUGGUGGUUCAGUGGUUAAGAAUCUGCCUGCCGGGCUUCCUAGGUGGCGCAGUGGUUGAGAAUCCACCUGCCAAUGCAGGGGACAAGGGUUCAAUCCCUGCUCCAGGAAGAUCCCACAUGCCGCGGAGCAACUAAGCCCAUGAGCCACAACUAUUGAGCCCAUGUGCUGCAACUACUGAAGCCCACGCGCCUAGAGCCUGUGCUCCGCAGCAAGAGAAGCCACGGCAAUGAGGAGCCCGCGCACCACAACAAAGAGGAGCCCCCACUCACUGCAACUAAAAGAAAGCCCACGCACAGCAAAAAAGACCCAACACAGCCAGUAAAAUAAAUAAAAAAAAAAAAAAGAAUCCUCCUGCCAAUGCAGAGGGCAUGGUUUCAAUCCCUGGUCCAGGAAGAUCCCACAUGCCACGGAGCAACUAAGCCCAUGCGCCACAACUCCUGAGCCUGAACUCUUGAGCCCAAGUGCUGCAACUACUGAAGCCCGCUUGCCUAGAGCCCGUGCUCUGCAACAA